GCCCAGGUGGCGGAAUUUGGUAGACGCGCAGGUUUCAGGUACCUGUGGCCGCAAGGCCGUGGAAGUUCGAGUCUUCUCCUGGGCACCA
rnacentral:tRNA from 2 species